GACGAACGCUGGCGGCAUGCUUUACACAUGCAAGUCGAACGGUAACAGGGAGCUUGCUCCGCUGACGAGUGGCGAACGGGUGAGUAAUGCGUCGGAACGUGCCGAGUAGUGGGGGAUAACGCAGCGAAAGUUGUGCUAAUACCGCAUACGUACUGAGGUAGAAAGUGGGGGACCUUCGGGCCUCACGCUAUUCGAGCGGCCGACGUCUGAUUAGCUAGUAGGUGAGGUAAAGGCUCACCUAGGCGACGAUCAGUAGCGGGUCGGAGAGGAUGAUCCGCCACACUGGGACGGAGACACGGCCCAGACUCCUACGGGAGGCAGCAGUGGGGAAUUUUGGACAAUGGGCGAAAGCCUGAUCCAGCCAUGCCGCGUGUCUGAAGAAGGCCUUCGGGUUGUAAAGGACUUUUGUCGGGGAGGAAAUCCCCAGCGCUAAUACCGCUGGGGGAUGACAGUACCUGAAGAAUAAGCACCGGCUAACUACGUGCCAGCCGCCGCCGUAA
rnacentral:rRNA from 1 species